rnacentral:rRNA from 1 species
GACGAACGCUGGCGGCGUGCUUAACACAUGCAAGUCGAACGGAAAGGCCCUGCUUUUGUGGGGUGCUCGAGUGGCGAACGGGUGAGUAACACGUGAGUAACCUGCCCUUGACUUUGGGAUAACUUCAGGAAACUGGGGCUAAUACCGGAUAGGAGCUCCUGCUGCAUGGUGGGGGUUGGAAAGUUUCGGCGGUUGGGGAUGGACUCGCGGCUUAUGAGCUUGUUGGUGGGGUAGUGGCUUACCAAGGCUUUGACGGGUAGCCGGCCUGAGAGGUUGACCGGGGACAUUGGGCCUACGAGACGGCGCAGACGCGUACGGGCGGCAACAGGGGGAAGCCUGGCAGAGUGGGCGGAAGCGUGAGGUAGAGGCGUCGGGUGCGUGAUGCCGUCUUUCGGGGGGUAAACCGCUUUGGCAUGUGACGAAGCGGGAGUGACGGUAAUGGGUAAAGAAGCACCGGCUAACUACGUG